rnacentral:rRNA from 1 species
UGCCAGCCGCCGCGGUAAUACGUAAGGGGCAAGCAUUAUCCGGAAUCAUUGGGCGUAAAGCGUCCGCAGGCUGUGCAGAAAGUUAGUUAUUAAAUACUGGUGCUCAACAUCAGUGCUGUAGCUAAAACUUCUGUGCUAGAGUAAUGGAGAGGUAUGUGGAAUUGCACAAGUAGGGGUAAAAUCCGUAGAUAUGUGCAGGAACACCAAAAGCGAAGGCAGCAUACUGGCCAUUUACUGACGCUCAGGGACGAAAGCGUGGGGAGCGAAAGGGAUUAGAUA